UCCUAUUCAAUUUCUCUUUAUCUGUACUUUGAUCGUUGUAGUUUCGAUUUAAAUGUGGAUUAGGGUUCAUCUGUUCAAUGGAUUGGUUUAGCUUUCGCUACUCUUAUUUCAAUUUUAUAAUUUUAGCCUAUUUGUGUUUAUGAUCAAAGGAUGGCUCCCAGUGAUAUUGAUAUUGCUCUAAAUCGACUUAAUCAAUCAAACUGAAGUCUAUAAAUAGUUUUGAUACAAUUUAGGUAACUAGGAAGAAUCCCCACUGCCGUUUGAUCUAAAAACGACCAAACAUUAGUUUAGAUGGUGAUGAAGAAGCAUGAGAAAGCAGUUUUAUCACUUCUAACUCAGUAGCAACGACGACGAGGUUCUAUACACCUGAUGGUGCUUCUUACUUGUAAUUGAAAGACGAGUUUAUAUUUCAAUCUCCGUCUACAACUAUGGGGAGUCUAAGCCUUUCUUUAUUCAUGGACUGCAAGUUUCAUGGUUCUGACGAGCUCAAAGUGCCUAUUUUUUAUGCUCUGCGUACCACGUGAUGUAGCAAGACCACUUCUAGUGACAUUUGCCUAAUUGCGCUAUGCUUUAAUUACUAAGUUGUACUCCAUGUGCUAUGCUUUGUAUUAUGUACUGAAGAUGUGAAUAAUAGUAACAUAUGUUAAUGCUAAGAUCAAUGAGGAUGAUUAAUUUUCCCAACUUUUUUUACUCUCUGAAAACAUAAGUGACUCUGAGGAUCCUUACUGACGCAAUUAAUAUAGAUGAUUAAACAUGCCUUAGAUUUAGUUAAAGUUGUAAUAUCUUAACGUAAAUUUGGUCACUCUUCAUGAUGAUAUUUAUGUUAUUAGUCAUUUUCCACUUAUAUGUCAUAUUUAAAGGAAACACAACCGUAGGUCAUGUAGCAGUUUAUACUAAUAUGGUGAUGUUAGCAAAGUCUUUGUAUGCACUUCCUUGUUCCAGGAUAUAGGCACAUAUUCAUUUUCAUUUCAAAAGCCUACCUUCUUAUGUAAGCACUGACGUAUCGUUUCUGUAAUAUACACCAUUUAAUGAUCUGGAAAAUAAAUAAUCUUUCGCUAUAGGAUCGUAAAUGAGGAUAUAACAUUGAAUGCAUAUGUCCAUUUUACUAUUUUCGGGUGGAAGUAGUAAAUACCUUUUGCCGUUUUCUUUCGAUAUUAACAAAGUCAAAGAGACAUCUGUUCAAAUUUUGAGUCAUGCACAACCUAAGCAUGACACGUCUCACUACUUUGCGUCUCGAGAUGUGUAUAAAUACCACCCCAUCCUCCUCCAUCUCAUCCAUCUCGUGCUCAAUAGUCAAUACUUUGGAGCUCUUUUUAUUAUCAAGGGCUUUUGUCACUGAUGAAUUACUCAGGAGGGUUCACAGGUUCAACCUAACUUACCUCUGAUUUUUGUGAUUCUGUCUGCUUUUGUGUUGAUAUAUUAUAUUGAAUUUUGGUUUGGGGUUUUCUCCACUGAUAUGUUCCAAUUUUGUCAAUCGGUUGUUUCUUUUAUUUAUCUGCUCAGAUUUUUUUAAAGUAUGCUUAUUGCUUAUAGCCUUCUGCGAUCUGUUUAUGGCCAUUUUUGUGGACAUUACUAUCCCCAAUGCACAAACACAAACACAAACACCUGAAUCUGAAGAGGAAAUAAGCCACUGAAAAACUUUUGGUUCUUGGGGCUGGAGAUCAAAAAUGGAAAUCCCUUGUGAAUCUGAUGGAAAAAGCGCUUGGGGGAAAUGAGGAAUUGAGGAUGCUACCAAGUACGAACAAGAAUAAGAGGCACCUAAGUGGUGGUAUUUUUCCCCUUUGUAAAGAUACAGGAUGGUACUAUCCAUCCAUUACGAUAUGGAGAAAUUGUUUGGUACCUUUUCGUCAUUAAGGCUUGAAGAGUCUUAUGAAGUGGGGGAGUGGAGUAUGUGUUUGUGAGAGCGCAAGCUUGACAUCAACAAGAUGCUUCUACUGUGGCUAGCUUCUUAACCACACAUCUUCCAUGCCUGCCUUUGUCUCUGAAGGAUAUACCGGUGAAACCACUGGUUAGAGACAAAUUAUAACCCAAAUGAAGAUGGACUGUAAAUCUCCACACUGUCCAAGAAAUAUAAGAGUUUCUAAAUCUUCAAAUGGAGAUUGUUCCGGCGAGCUGUUGGAAUGUAGGAAAUAGACCUCAUUGCAACUUUAAAAAAAUGUUAUUGAAAUGCAUAGGACCUUAGUGAGUCCUCUCUCAUGAUGCUGGAUGCGGUAAUCAGUGCAAGUUUUCUAUCCAUCUGUUUCUCUGCGCAGUUUAUCUCACUUUUGUAGUUUGAGGGAUUUUCUUGUACCAAGAGGAAGUCGUGUAAUAGGUUAAGAUUUGGAUCCAAAUGUUAUGAAUCAUCUGUAAAAUAACAUACUCCCUAUGUUAUGGACUUGAUUUUGAUAUCAUAUUUGACCUUUGCUUA